ACACAUCUUCUUAUUUCUGUAUUAAAGUGUUCAUGUGUUCAAUUUUAAGAACCUUCUUCAAUUGGUCUGCACUAAACAACUAAUGUAAACGAUAAAUAUUUAUUAUCAACAACCUUGAUAUCAACAAUAUUAAACAGAACUUUAAUAGUUUUGAAUAAUCAAACAGUGCCCAAGUCGUAAAUACACAACUAAUCGUGUAUUGAAAUAAGCCCC
rnacentral:lncRNA from 1 species